rnacentral:sRNA from 1 species
UUUUCAUGAAUUAAGUAAUUGCCACCUAAAAAAUAACAGAAGAGAGUAUGAAAACAAAAAAAAAUCCAUGUCUUUUAAAAUGUCUUUUACCAUGUUGCUUCUUGGCAAGUAUCUUAUAAAUAUUCCAAGUCAGAUGUUAAAAUUUUUUAAAGCAGCUUUAUAUUUCCAUAGUGUAAUAUUAGUUUGGGAUUUAUUUCAGGGGUUUAAUGUCUGUCUUUACUUGUCUAGAAGUAGCUUCACUGGCUCCUAACUACUGCCCUGGGGCAGAUUCAGAUGAAAUGUGGUAUGUAGCCACACCCAAUACUGUUGGCAUACUUUCAUUGAAUCUAUUCCCAUGGAAGAAACCCAGUUGCAAUUUCAGUAUUAUUUCAUCAAAGAGGCCAGGCCAGAGCUAUCAUAACUGCUUUCAUAUCGUGUUUCCUUUUUAUUAUAUCAUGUUUUAUAUCAUAUGUUUGCUUUCUACAUACUUGUUCCUCAAUUGCUUGUGCUUAUAUAAAUUUAUAAUGCUAUUGAAUAAACAAAACAAUAAAUAGUGAUGGGAUCAUUUUAUACGGAUGUAAUAUUUUCUGAAGAGCCAAACAAAUUGAAUAAGUAACUUUACUCCAAAUUUUAAUGAGCUAUUAAAUUUUAUUUAAAUCACUUUUCCUUUCUACCCAAAAGUAAUCAUCUUAAGUGUUUUUCCAGUGUCUGAGAACAUUAGUGGGACAUACAGGUGGAGUAUGGUCAUCACAAAUGAGAGACAACAUCAUCAUUAGUGGAUCUACAGAUCGGACACUCAAAGUGUGGAAUGCAGAGACUGGAGAAUGUAUACACACCUUAUAUGGGCAUACUUCCACUGUGCGUUGUAUGCAUCUUCAUGAAAAAAGAGUUGUUAGCGGUUCUCGAGAUGCCACUCUUAGGGUUUGGGAUAUUGAGACAGGCCAGUGUUUACAUGUUUUGAUGGGUCAUGUUGCAGCAGUCCGCUGUGUUCAAUAUGAUGGCAGGAGGGUUGUUAGUGGAGCAUAUGAUUUUAUGGUAAAGGUGUGGGAUCCAGAGACUGAAACCUGUCUACACACGUUGCAGGGGCAUACUAAUAGAGUCUAUUCAUUACAGGUAAGAUCUCUUAUCUCUCCCUUAAAUGCUCUCCUGAUGAAUCAUAAGGUUGUUUUACUCAGAUAAUCACUGUCAAAUUGCUGAUCCAGUACAGUCCAAAAAAGAUUAAUCAGAUUAUUCUGCUGUUUUUAUAUACGUUAAAAUUGGCAUGAAGAAAGUGUAAAUUUCAAAAUUAUUUAAAUGCUUUCAAUUUUCUGUGAUCUAUUUCUCCUCUAAAUACAAAUAUUUGUUUUGCAACCUGACACUUUGGGUCUCUAAGUUUUGCUAUGUUAAUUAAUGGUUAAAUAGUCUCAUAGGAGAGUAACCUGGAUUUUAAGAAACUCCUUUGCAGAAGAUUAAUAUGGCCAAAAGCUGCCCCUUUGCUUUGAUAGCUGAAAGUUGAUGGACCAUGUAAUUGUGAUUCCAUCCCCAUUCAAAGUGGAAAUAGAUCCUUUCUGCAUAAAGCACUCUACUGUCCCAGGCCCACUGAUUUGUAGUCAUAAAGAAGUAAAGUUGACUAAACCGAUUUCUUUUUUUUGGUUUAUAUUUCAAGCCCAUAUCCUUGAAAACAUUGCCAUAUUUUGAGAUCAUUAACUAGAUGAAUAGGAAGUUUAGAAUAUGAAUCUUGUUUUAUUUCCAGAAAGGCAACAUUUUUAAUGUAAAAAUAUUUCCUAUAGCUUAUAUAGUUUAUUUACCAGUUAUUGCCCAUUAAUGUUCAGCAAAUUAGUACAUAAUCUUAUGUACUAAUUUUGGCACAUUUCCUAAUUAGCAUUAGGUUCUUAUAAAUGAAAUUUUAUUUUACACACAGUUUUUAAUGGAACUUACUUUUGAACAUCACGAAAGUUAUCUCUAGCCCUUUUCAUGCCUUAGGUGCUGAUAAGCAUUCCGUUUAUCAUAAGCUAUGUCAUUAGUCUCAGCUUCCUAGUGGGAAGUAAAACUCAUAGCAAUUCUCUCAGUCAUCCAUGAUAUAUAGCUAGGUGGGGCCAGAUGAUUUGAAAAUUAACAUAUUGUUCAUUUUAGGUGCUUUGGUUUCAUUUUAAGUUGUUUCUGCAUCUAGUUUGAAGCUGCUUGGCAUAAAGAUGAGCCUUUCUGAUAGAAGUGUGUGAGAACAUACAUUGUAGAGUUGCUUGAUGGCAUGCAGUUUAUCCUCAUUGCCACUUUAUCUUAGUACCUCAUUUUGUUCCUGGCAUUACCUGUUUCCCAUCCUCUUCCCCCUUUCCUACUAGGAUUAAGGUCAGUAAUUGAUAGGAAGAGUAUCCAUACUUCUAUUCUAAUAAACUGUGUCUUUUGUAGUUUGAUGGUAUCCAUGUGGUGAGUGGAUCUCUUGAUACAUCAAUCCGUGUUUGGGAUGUGGAGACAGGGAAUUGCAUUCACACGUUAACAGGGCACCAGUCGUUAACAAGUGGAAUGGAACUCAAAGACAAUAUUCUUGUCUCUGGGAAUGCAGAUUCUACAGUUAAAAUCUGGGAUAUCAAAACAGGACAGUGUUUACAAACAUUGCAAGGUAAGUAUUACUCACCUUUCGUUUUGUUCAUUAAAAAUGAGAUCAUUAUUCAAGAGAAAUAUGGAGCCUUAGCAUCACAAAAAGAGUCAAUCUCAUACAGAAUGGUUACUUCAGAAAAGUUUAUGAAUAUUUUCACCCUAACUUACAGAACUAGUCUACUCUUGAGGAAAUGUUUUAAACUGUGUUUUUAAUAUGUAAUAUAAAAUUGUUUAAUCACUUCCUGCAUGUUCAAUUGACUCUACUUAACCUUUAAGAACAGUGAGAAGAAAGAUCUUGGGUAUAUCAUAGAAGCAACGUACUCAUUAUAUUUUUUGAUUGACCAUUGCAUUUUGAAUUUGUAGUCCAAUUUUAAAGGGCUACCUUAUUGAAAAAAACAACAGCAUCCUUGAUAGAAAAUUUAUUUGGCCUCCACUUAAUCACGUGCUUAACUGGAAUGGAGAGGAAUAAUAGUGCCUACUAAAGUAGAGAAAGAAACAAGUGAAAAUCACUAAUAUUAGAUGAGGUACAGCAGUGCCUCAUGAUUAACUUUUUCUAUUUGUUAUAGCCCUUAGAAAGUGGUUUUUUCAGUGGGGCUAUCUGAUAGGCAACAUUGCAGCUUUUUACUCAUUGGUUUUGUCUCUCCUCAGAGUUUUGGAAUAGUGACUAUUCAGCUUUGAGUGGUUCAUGGUGGUGGGGUAAUAGAUCUCUUAGUGCUCAUUUGUCCAUCAGCAGAAGGUAUGAAGUUGCACUAUCUACAUCCUCACCAAGGAAUGCUGUCGUUCACACAGCCAGAAAAUAAGAUGUUUGUCUGGUAGCUAACCAAGCUUCUUGGAAGACAGACCUCUUGAAAGUUAAUGUUUCAGUUACAAAUCACUACCAGAUUUUCUUACAUCCAUGCUGAUCCUAAAAUACUGAGGACAUGGGUUUCUAAAUAUGUAUCAUUUCAAAUGUUGCAUUUAUUGUAUGUUCUAAAGUAGAAGUCUACAAAUUAUAAUGUAACUAACCCAUAGCCAUUAUUUCUAACCAGUAAUUAAAUUAUUUUGGUUUUUGUCUAGGUCCCAACAAGCAUCAGAGUGCUGUGACCUGUUUACAGUUCAACAAGAACUUUGUAAUUACCAGCUCAGAUGAUGGAACUGUAAAACUAUGGGACUUGAAAACGGGUGAAUUUAUUCGAAACCUAGUCACAUUGGAGAGUGGGGGGAGUGGGGGAGUUGUGUGGCGGAUCAGAGCCUCAAACACAAAGCUGGUGUGUGCAGUUGGGAGUCGGAAUGGGACUGAAGAAACCAAGCUGCUGGUGCUGGACUUUGAUGUGGACAUGAAGUGAAGAGCAGAAAAGAUGAAUUUGUCCAAUUGUGUAGACGAUAUACUCCCUGCCCUUCCCCCUGC